rnacentral:rRNA from 1 species
UACGUAGGGCGCAAGCGUUGUCCGGAAUUAUUGGGCGUAAAGAGCUCGUAGGCGGUCUGUCGCGUCGGCUGUGAAAACUCGGGGCUCAACCCCGAGCCUGCAGUCGAUACGGGCAGACUAGAGUCCGGUAGGGGAGCGUGGAAUUCCGUGGUGUAGCGGUGAAAUGCGCAGAUAUCAGGAGGAACACCUGUGGUGUAGACAGCUUACUGGACCAUUUCUGACGCUGAGACACGAAAGCGUGGGGAGCAAACAGG